CCUACGGGGGGCAGCAGUGGGGAAUAUUGGACAAUGGGGGGAACCCUGAUCCAGCCAUGCCGCGUGUGUGAAGAAGGCCCUCGGGUUGUAAAGCACUUUCAGUGAGGAAGAACGCCUGGUGGUUAAUACCCAUCAGGAAAGACAUCACUCACAGAAGAAGCACCGGCUAACUCCGUGCCAGCAGCCGCGGUAAUACGAAGGGUGCGAGCGUUAAUCGGAAUUACUGGGCGUAAAGCGCGCGUAGGUGGCUUGAUAAGCCGGUUGUGAAAGCCCCGGGCUCAACCUGGGAACGGCAUCCGGAACUGUCAAGCUAGAGUGCAGGAGAGGAAGGUAGAAUUCCCGGUGUAGCGGUGAAAUGCGUAGAGAUCGGGAGGAAUACCAGUGGCGAAGGCGGCCUUCUGGACUGACACUGACACUGAGGUGCGAAAGCGUGGGUAGCAAACAGGAUUAGAUACCCUAGUAGUC
rnacentral:rRNA from 1 species